GUCUUCCUGGCGCAGUUGGCUAGCGCGUCAGUCUCAUAUCAAGUUCGAUAUGAUCUAAACAUUAGUUUGGGCAAUCUGAAGGUCGUGAGUUCGAGCCUCACGGAGGACA